UACGUAGGCAGCGAGCGUUGUUCGGAAUCACUGGGCGUAAAGGGUGCGUAGGCGGCCGUGCAAGUCUGGCGUGAAAGCCCCGGGCUCAGCCCGGGAAGUGCGCUCGAAACUGCGCGGCUCGAGUGCCGGAGGGGAGAGUGGAAUUCCUGGUGUAGCGGUGGAAUGCGCAGAUAUCAGGAGGAACACCGGUGGCGAAGGCGGGGAUCCUGGGCCAGUACUGACGCUGAGGAGCGAAAAGCGUGGGGAGCAAACAGG
rnacentral:rRNA from 1 species